rnacentral:rRNA from 1 species
UCGCAAUCCUACGUCGAUGCCAUGCAGUCGACGAUGAACCACUUCGGUGGGGAUUAGUGGCGAACGGGUGAGUAACACGUGGGCAAUCUGCCCUUCACUCUGGGACAAGCCCUGGAAACGGGGUCUAAUACCGGAUAACACUGCGGAUCGCAUGGUCUGCGGUUGAAAGCUCCGGCGGUGAAGGAUGAGCCCGCGGCCUAUCAGCUUGUUGGUGAGGUAACGGCUCACCAAGGCGACGACGGGUAGCCGGCCUGAGAGGGCGACCGGCCACACUGGGACUGAGACACGGCCCAGACUCCUACGGGAGGCAGCAGUGGGGAAUAUUGCACAAUGGGCGAAAGCCUGAUGCAGCGACGCCGCGUGAGGGAUGACGGCCUUCGGGUUGUAAACCUCUUUCAGCAGGGAAGAAGCGAAAGUGACGGUACCUGCAGAAGAAGCGCCGGCUAACUACGUGCCAGCAGCCGCGGUAAUACGUAGGGCGCAAGCGUUGUCCGGAAUUAUUGGGCGUAAAGAGCUCGUAGGCGGCUUGUCACGUCUAUUGUGAAAGCCCGAGGCUUAACCUCGGGUCUGCAGUCGAUACGGGCUAGCUAGAGUUCGGUAGGGGAGAUCGGAAUUCCUGGUGUAGCGGUGAAAUGCGCAGAUAUCAAGAGGAACACCGGUGGCGAACGCGGAUCUCUGGGCCUAUACUGACGCUGAGAGCGAAAGCGUGGGGAGCUAACAGAUUAGAUUCCUGGUAGUCCACGCAGUAAACCGUGAGAACUACGUGUGCGCAACAUUUCCACCUUGUCAUGGCUGCAGCUUACCGCUAAGUGCCCGGACUGGGAUUACGCUACAAAGCUAUAACUCCAAGUAAUGACGGAGACCCGAUGAUCAGGCGUAGCAUGUUUGCAUAAUUCGUACGUCGACAGGCAGACAAACCUA